UUGGUGUUAUUCUCCUUUUUAGGCACAAGUCCCAUAUUCCCUUCUGCUUUGUCAGCUUUCUUGCACUUGGGCCCAAAUGUCCUACAUGGAUUAGUCUCAAUGGCAAAAGCAUUGGAAGUUUUAGCAAUCUCAAGGUGCUCUUCCUCAAGUUCCAAAUGAUGUGCAAUGUCCUCGAGCAUUUUCAUAUUCUCAUUAUGCAUCAUAUUAUUUGCAUAUGUUUCUAUGAGUUGGGAAGGGAGCG
rnacentral:lncRNA from 1 species